GCCGACUCCUGACCAGGAAGGCACGGGGCAUCCCCUCAGGAAUGGUGAGAUGGCUCUGUGCACACAGGCUGCCUCCUCUGCCAGCUGUCGGAACUCAGCCCCAACGACUAUCCCAGUUGCUGGAUGUCCUGCAGCCUUGACUAGGGCGCCUGGCACAGGUCUGGUAGCUCAGUACCUAGAAGCUGUCCUGAUGAAUUCUGCUACAGGGGGGCCAAGGGGCCCAGCUGUCCAUGCCCACCACCGUACCUCCUGCGGCGACCAGUUCCUGUGUUGUUGCUGAAACCAGAAAUCUGGUGCCAG